rnacentral:rRNA from 1 species
GACGAACGCUGGCGGCGUGCUUAACACAUGCAAGUCGAACGGAGAGGCCUUUUCGGAGGUACUCGAGUGGCGAACGGGUGAGUAACACGUGGGUGAUCUGCCCUGCACUCUGGGAUAAGCCUGGGAAACUGGGUCUAAUACCGGAUAGGACCGCACUUUAGUGUGUGUGGUGGAAAGUUUUUUCGGUGUAGGAUGAGCCCGCGGCCUAUCAGCUUGUUGGUGGGGUAAUGGCCUACCAAGGCGGCGACGGGUAGCCGGACUGAGAGGUUGGUCGGCCACAUUGGGACUGAGAUACGGCCCAGACUCCUACGGGAGGCAGCAGUGGGGAAUAUUGCACAAGGGGCGCAAGCCUGAUGCAGCGACGCCGCGUGGGGGAUGACGGCCUUCGGGUUGUAAACUCCUUUCGCCAGGGACGAAGCGUUUUGUGACGGUACCUGGAGAAGAAGCACCGGCUAACUACGUG